rnacentral:rRNA from 1 species
GAUGAACGCUGGCUACAGGCUUAACACAUGCAAGUCGAGGGGAAACGGCAUUUGGUGCUUGCACCGAAUGGACGUCGACCGGCGCACGGGUGAGUAACGCGUAUCCAACCUUCCCGUUACUGCGGGAUAACCUGCCGAAAGGCAGACUAAUACCGCAUGUUCUUCGAUGACGGCAUCAGAUUCGAAGCAAAGAUCCGUCGGUAACGGAGGGGGAUGCGUCUGAUUAGCUAGUUGGCGGGGCGACGGCCCACCAAGGCGACGAUCAGUAGGGGUUCUGAGAGGAAGGUCCCCCACAUUGGAACUGAGACACGGUCCAAACUCCUACGGGAGGCAGCAGUGAGGAAUAUUGAUCAAUGGGCGGAAGCCUGAACCAGCCAAGUAGCGUGCAGGAUGACGGCCCUACGGGUUGUAAACUGCUUUUAUGCGGGGAUAAAGUGAGGGACGCGUCCCUUUUUGCAGGUA